AGUUUCUAAAUGCCACUCUCAAAUUUUGUUCUUAAAAUAGUCACACUUAGAGCAGCCAGCCUUACAACACAGACAGACUUUAUCUUCCUUUGUUCUUCUUUAUUUCUCAUCUCCUUUGCCCACCUCCCCACCCCAGAGCUUAACAAGUCAAUUUGUUAGACAAGCAUUCCUCCCCCAAUCUGUGAUGCCAUGUUACAGACACCGAGGCUCUAACCUAUACAGGGUGGAGAUGACAGGAACACAAUAAGAAGUGUGGCUUUCUUUGCUUCGACACUCAUCCAUCCAAUAUCCUGACCUAAAAAUAUUAUUUUCCAUGUGAUCUUGCAAUUUCGAGUUUUACCACAGAACUAAGUAGCUUUUACUAUAGCUAUGAAAAGGCACACUUCCUAGAGGAACAUUUAGAUCAGAUGUUUUGAUGUAAAAUACUUGUCUUUCGUAAGUAAAAUUAUAGUGCAUUUUAUUUUUCUUAGGAUAGUUAAUUCUGCCAUUAAAUAGAUUGUACUUACUUUGGUUCAAACGGCUGAAAAAAAAAGAGAAUUUAAAAUUUGCUAUUUUUCCUAUAAAGUCACGGAUAAUCCACUGACCCCGAGGAAGGGCAGAAGUGCUCUGUUUGGCUCUCCUGCUGCAGAGAGCUUUGCAGGGAUUAUUUCUCAUCGCUGAGUGACAGCUUGUUUCUGUCUCUCUCUGUUAGGAUAUUUUGCUCGUGUCCAUGGCAUCAGGCAGCUCAUAAAGGCAUUUCUACAGGAGACAGAAUGUCACUGCCAAAUUAUAAACCUGGGGGCUGGGAUGGAUACCGCCUUCUGGACAUUAAAGGAUGAGGGUCUUCUCCCAAGGAAAUAUUUUGAAGUUGACUUUCCGGUGAUAGUCACGAGAAAGCUACACAGCAUCAAAUUCAAGUCUCUCCUAUCAAAAACCAAUUUAGACUUACAUUCAGAGGAGACACUUCAAAUGGGAUUGUAGGAAACAUAUGUAUAUGUGCAUAUCUGCAGGAACUGUUUGCUCAAAGAAUUGGCCAUUAUGAAUUUUAGCUACUGCCCAACUGUUCUUCAAGACCUUUUUAUGAAUUCCUACUUUCACAAAGGCAAAUCCGCCCGCUGUACAAACUAUUGGGACUUCCUGGCUGAUUGUGGUGUGGAUGUUGUAAGUACCAAUUUGCCGUGUGCUUCCCCGCUCCUUCUUCUGUUCCUCUUUAUCCCCGCUCCUUGUUCUCUUCCCCUUUAUCAAUAAACUCUGAUUGCUUAAACAACCAAAUAGCCUUGGCG